GUGGGGUUGUAGCUCAGUGGUAAAGCAUGUGCCUAGUGUGUGUGAGUCACUGGGUUCGAUUCUCAGCACCACA
rnacentral:tRNA from 1 species